rnacentral:misc_RNA from 1 species
AAUUUGGUAGCACCUUGCAUGGUAAACAGUUAUGUGAAAUUAUACACUUAUCAGAUAAAAAUGUCUUCAAACGCCACACAGCAUACUCAAUUGGUUUUCCAGUUAAUGUCUGAGUCAGUUUAUCACGGCAUGUGUCACAGGAUAGGGACUCCAGAAGAUGUUAGCUAUAGAAGGGACAUGGCUGACAUUAGCGAGUUUCUAGGAAAUCUGUUACAAAGAAAAGACCAGAGCAAAGUGAUGAUAAGUGGUAGCAAUAGCAAACAAUCUCCGGCUUGACAAUGGAAUUUGUUACAUUACAGAGUUGUUACUAGAACAGGAGUCUGGUAAACGGAGCAAUAGAACUUGGAUCCUCAUAUCACCAUUCAUUCUUGCAAAUAUGCUAGAGUUUUUAAUCUGUAGGCAUAACGACACAUCGAGAGCACAAGCGGCUCUAGAUAACAUAACUGCUCUUAUACAGCACGGCGAAGAGGAUUUUGUGGCUAAAGAUACUAUGGAUAUUUCGUGGGAGAUUCUUGGGAUCUGUCAAGAGAUCAAUGGCAACAUCCAGGCUGCCCGGUUUUCAUUUCAGCAGUCACUUCAACAAUAUCCAUUUUUUGAAAUACAACUUGCUACCAGAGAGAGAAUUCAAAACUUAAAUGACCAAGAAAAGCAUUGACCAUCAAUGUCGUUAAUUAAUAAUAAGAACAAUUAGUUGUGACAACAAGGGAAAAAAACAAUAUGUUCUCAAAGCUGGAAUGUCAUCGUUGUUCUCUAAUGAGUUGCUAUUGAUGUAAAAAUGCUAUUUAUUACUUAAUAAGGAAUAAAUAAUCAUUUAUUUUCUUUCAAAGGAUUAUAGAUAUGGAUCUGUCACAAAAUAAACUUCCAAAACUUGAUUUAUCAUUUAUUUUAUUUAUCUUUGACAGGUAAAAUGUUUUACGGUGCGACUGUUGGGGCGAGCGCAGCAUGUGAUCAAAUAAUGAAUUAUGACAAAUCAAUAAAACUAAAAGUAGCAACGUAACGUAUAUGAAUUUGAAUGAAACAUACCUAUCUUUUCAGUAAAUUUUCAUUAUUCAUAAUUUAUACUUUUUUUUAUUAAAUAUUUCAGCAGAAUUUGUCUCAAAUGCAGUGUCGUCGAAAAAUAAAGAUUUUAACAUAUUG